AUCAAAGCCUUUUCAUCAACGUGACUUCUGUGAUGAAGGUCAAUGACAGUUUGACCGUUGAUGGCAUAGAUUUUUAUGUAACUAGUCAGUAUGUAGAGGAGUUAUUUAAUUCAUGCAAGGAUGUGAAAUUUGGGACUAUGAACACUCGUGCAAUGGAUUUUGUUGGUGCAGGUGCUCAAAAUUACAAAGAGUGGCUUGCAUUUGUUGGUCAUCAAGCAAAUCC